rnacentral:rRNA from 1 species
GGGCAUCCCGGAGGCAGGAAAGGCUUCGGCCGGACAGGGAUGGGCAUGCGGCGCAUUAGGCAGUAGGCGGGGUAACGGCCCACCUAACCGACGAUGCGUAGGGGUUCUGAGAGGAAGGUCCCCCACACUGGUACUGAGACACGGACCAGACUCCUACGGGAGGCAGCAGCGAGGAAUAUUGGUCAAUGGUCGGGAGACUGAACCAGCCAAGCCGCGUGAGGGAUGAAGGUACAGAGUAUCGUAAACCUCUUUUGUCAGGGAACAAAGGCGGGGACGUGUCCCCGGAUGAGUGUACCUGAAGAAAAAGCAUCGGCUAACUCCGUGCCAGCAGCCGCGGUAAUACGGAGGAUGCGAGCGUUAUCCGGAUUUAUUGGGUUUAAAGGGUGCGCAGGCGGUCUGUUAAGUCAGCGGUCAAAGCCCGGGGCUCAACCCCGGCCCGCCGUUGAAACUGGCAGUCUCGAGUUGGAGAGAAGUAUGCGGAAUGCGCGGUGUAGCGGUGAAAUGCAUAGAUAUCGCGCAGAACUCCGAUUGCGAAGGCAGCAUGCCGGCUCCACACUGACGCUGAGGCACGAAAGCGUGGGUAUCGAACAGGAUUAGAUACCCUGGUAGUCCACGCAGUAAACGA